GGACCAGAAAUUUCUGCCUUAAGAAAAGAUUCCAUAGCUUAACAAAAGAUACUGGCAGUUCUUUGGUAGGUUUGCUGUGUGGGUCCAAAGAAAUGGAGCAUAUAAUGCAAUGCACUGGCAUCUUGAAACUGGCUCAGCUUCCUGACUUCUUUCUGACCUACUUAUAGAUGAUACAAAGAUCUUCACUGCAUUUGCAUUUCUCUCCAGAAAGUCACCUGACUGCCAGUAUAGUCAUGUUCAUGAAUGCCUGGUGGCUCAGAAAAGCCUCUGUACGAACCUGUGGGAUAAAUAUUCAGAAAGGCAUUCUUAGAGUAGUUGGCAAUGCUAUUGUGGAAUUUGUGAAGCAAUAAGAUAACAAGAUCAUGAGGCCCUUCCUCUCAACCAAGCAGAUCUGUUUACUGUACUAUUAUUUUUCAUAGGAAAAUAAAAUCA